GCUGGGCAUAGUGGCACAAGCUUGUAAUCCCCAUCUCCAGGAAGAGUAAGACUGGUAGAUCUCUUAAGCUUGGAAGUUCUGAGCUGUAGUGAGCUAAGCCAGUAGGGUUCUGCACUGUCUGGCACCAAGAUGAUUAGCUUCUGAAGGGGAGGAAGUACUGGAUUGCCUAAGGAGGGCAAACAGGCCCAGGUCAGAAAUGGAGCAGGUCAAAGCUUCCAUGCCAAUCAGUAGUGAUAUUGGGCCUGUGAAUAGCCUUGUAUUUCCAGCCUGGGUGAGAUGGGGAGACUCAGUCUUU
rnacentral:SRP_RNA from 1 species